rnacentral:lncRNA from 1 species
AUCAAUAAACAUGCCACUUUUAUAGUAAAAGAGUUUAUCCUAAAAAGAGGCAGUGGGAAGAAAAUUAAACUUAGAGAAGUUCAAGAUUCACAAAUGCAAGCACAAGAUGAUCCUCAAUCAAAAAUAUCCAUUAAUGAAGUACAACCAUAAAAUACACCUCCUCUUCGAACGUCGGAUAGAGUGCGGAAUGCACCUAUAAGGUAUGGGUUCGUUAUUGAGAAUAAUAAAGCCCACAUCAUUGAGAAUGAUGAACCUUUGACCUAUACGGAAGCCAUCAUGAGUAGGGAC